rnacentral:rRNA from 1 species
GCAAGCCUGACGGAGCAACGCCGCGUGAGGGAUGGAGGCCUUUGGGCUGUAAACCUCUUUUCUCAAGGAAGAAGAUCUGACGGUACUUGAGGAAUAAGCCACGGCUAAUUCCGUGCCAGCAGCCGCGGUAAUACGGGAGUGGCAAGCGUUAUCCGGAAUUAUUGGGCGUAAAGCGUCCGCAGGCGGCCGUUUAAGUCUGUUGUUAAAUCGUGGAGCUCAACUCCAUCACGGCAAUGGAAACUGUUCGGCUUGAGUAUGGUAGGGGCAGAGGGAAUUUCCGGUGUAGCGGUGAAAUGCGUAGAUAUCGGGAAGAACACCAGUGGCAAAAGCGCUCUGCUGGGCCAUUACUGACGCUCAUGGACGAAAGCCAGGGGAGCGAAAGGGAUUAGAUACCCCUGUAGUCCUGGCCGUAAACGAUGAACACUAGAUGUUGGGGGAAUCGACCCCCUCGGUGUCGUAGCUAACGCGUUAAGUGUUCCGCCUGGGGAGUACGCACGCAAGUGUGAAACUCAAAGGAAUUGACGGGGGCCCGCACAAGCGGUGGAGUAUGUGGUUUAAUUCGAUGCAACGCGAAGAACCUUACCAAGGCUUGACAUCCUGCGAAUCUCCAAGAAAUUGGAGAGUGCCUUUUGGAACGCAGUGACAGGUGGUGCAUGGCUGUCGUCAGCUCGUGUCGUGAGAUGUUGGGUUAAGUCCCGCAACGAGCGCAACCCACGUUUUUAGUUGCCAGCAUUCAGUUGGGCACUCUAGAAAGACUGCCGGUGACAAACCGGAGGAAGGUGUGGACGACGUCAAGUCAUCAUGCCCCUUACGCCUUGGGCUACACACGUACUACAAUGCUGCGGACAAAGAGUAGCGAUCUUGCGAAAGUUAGCUAAUCUCGUAAACCGUGGCUCAGUUCAGAUCGUAGGCUGCAACUCGCCUACGUGAAGGAGGAAUCGCUAGUAAUCGCAGGUCAGCAUACUGCGGUGAAUACGUUCCCGGGCCUUGUACACACCGCCCGUCACACCAUGGAAGUUGGCC